GUCUACAACCAUACCACCCUGAAUGCAACUAGUCUCCUCUGAUCUUGGAAGCUAAGCAGGGUCAGGCUUGGUUAGUACUUGGAAGGGAGAAAUGUCUUCCUAUAGGUUUUGAUAAGCUGUGUAUU
rnacentral:rRNA from 1 species